GUCGCGAGUUGAUCAUAAUAAUAUUUCUGACGACAUGUCCCGUUCCAUCUUGAUAUGCGUCAUGUUGUUAGUUGCACUCAAUAUUAUAAAUGUCGAGGGGCAGGAGGAUGGAGAAGGUGCAGUUGAUGAGUAUCGUGUGGAGCCCGGUCCUGAUGGUCAAGAUAGAGUAAUUAGCAACACUGUUGUACCAGCCGAAUUAGUGGACGACAUCGAACGUUCCGUAAGGGAAGAAGAAAUGGAAUAAGUCAUACUAACAGCUGCUGUUUGUUCCUGAAAUAAAUAUUAAAAUAA